UUCCGGUUGAUCCUGCCGGACCCGACUGCUAUCAGAGUGGGACUAAGCCAUGCGAGUCGACGUAGCAAUGCGUGGCGAACGGCUCAGUAACACGUAGUCAACAUGCCCAGGGGACGUGGAUAACCUCGGGAAACUGAGAAUAAACCACGAUAGGUCACGAUUUCUGGAAUGGAUCAUGGCCUAAAUCUACAUGGCCCCUGGAUUGGACUGCGGCCGAUCAGGCUGUUGGUGAGGUAAUGGCCCACCAAACCUAUAACCGGUACGGGCUCUGAGAGGAGAAGCCCGGAGAUGGGCACUGAGACAAGGGCCCAGGCCCUAUGGGGCGCAGCAGGCGCGAAACCUCUGCAAUAGGCGAAAGCCUGACAGGGUUACUCUGAGUGAUUUCCGCUAAGGGGAUCUUUUGGCACCUCUAAAAAAUGGUGCAGAAUAAGGGGUGGGCAAGUCUGGUGUCAGCCGCCGCGGUAAUACCAGCACCCCGAGUGGUCGGGACGAUUAUUGGGCCUAAAGCAUCCGUAGCCGGUUCUGCAAGUCUUCCGUUAAAUCCAGCCGCUCAACGGAUGGGCCGCGGAGGAUACUACAGGACUAGGAGGCGGGAGAGGCAAGCGGUACUCAGUGGGUAGGGGUAAAAUCCUCUGAUCCACUGAAGACCACCAGUGGCGAAGGCGGCUUGCCAGAACGCGCUCGACGGUGAGGGAUGAAAGCUGGGGGAGCAAACCGGAUUAGAUACCCGGGUAGUCCCAG
rnacentral:rRNA from 1 species